rnacentral:tRNA from 1 species
GAAAUAUACAAUAAAUAAGCUUCUAACUUAAUUUUAAGCGAUUAAUUUCGUUUAUAUUUCU